rnacentral:lncRNA from 1 species
AAUACAGAUAACCAAAAUAUAAGUUUUGAUCUGCAAUAACACGUGGGCUCCAAUUGACCAAGAGGAUGUAAGACUGUGAACUCUUACUUUCUAUAAUGCAAUUCCGAGCUUAGUUCUCGUCCUACUCGACUAUCUAAAAACUGUCCUGAGCCUGAAAAAUGUAUAGGAAGAAGGGGUGAGAUUUUAUAAUCCCAAUAAGUAAACAAAUACCAUCUAAAGUAUCUAAAGUCGAGUAAAUAGAGACAAUUAAAAUAAGUCAUCAUACUGUAAUUUCAUUACCUUUCAGUUCAUUUCAACCAAAUAAAAUCAAUCCAUAUAAAUCGAGUAAUCAACUUGGCUUAUGAAUUUCUUAAAACUUUGGCUCGUGCCAAAACUCAUACUCNN